rnacentral:rRNA from 1 species
CGGAUCGGAGUCUGCAACCCGACUCCGUGAAGCUGGAUUCGCUAGUAAUCGCGCAUCAGCCAUGGCGCGGUGAAUACGUUCCCGGGCCUUGUACACACCGCCCGUCAAGCCAUGGAAGCCGGGGGCGCUUGAAGUGCGUUGCCGCAAGGCGCGCCCUAGAGCGAAACCGGUGCUGGGGCUAAGUCGUAACAAGGUAGC